CCGUAAAAUUUAAGUUUGAAUGUGUUUUGUUUCAAGCCUUAUAUUUUCGCUUUACUUUUCAGAUAAAAAAGAAUCAUAAAGAACCUAAACGAGACAUGCUAUCAGAGGGCUACUCGAUGGGUGAGGAGACGCAGCCUCCCUCACAGGAGUCCAGUCACAGUAGCAGUGGGGCGGCGACGGUCUGGCCACAUACGCACAUUUUCACUGUCCUCAUGUUGUGUUUGGAGCUUACAUACGGAAACCUCGGGUCCUAACAAGAAGCAGCGUCAGUGUCAUGAAACUUUAGUAUCCGUUUACUGGAGGUCAUAUGCAGAGAUUCAGUUUAGAGAUGUCACACUCGGGAAUCUGGAUGGACCGUGUUUCCAGGCAACCGAUGGACCAUAUGUGGCCAGUAUAUUGUUUUAAUGUGAAUCAGUGAUCUUUUAACUCAGUGCUAGAAUGAAGACGGGAAUUCAUAUUGGUGUGCAUGAUUUAAACGUGUAAAGGAUAGUUUGUAAUCUCAUACACUAUCAGAUUGGAAGGCAAAUUGAUAGCUCCAACAUUCUACAUCCACAAGAAAAGAAGCCGCACUGAUUGUCAUUGAUAUACGAGGUUUCCCACUGUAUUGUAUUUUGCGUGCAAAAACUUACGGCAUGCUCAUGCUUUACGAUGCUAGAUUAGGCUCAAAUUUCUCGAACAUUUUAGUCCCUUUUAGGUAUCAUUUGUGUAAUAUUUACAUUCUUAUUAUUUUUUGAAGAGAUUUUAUUAAUGAUAUAAAUAUUUAACCAUUAUUUUCGGUAAAAUCAAAUAAGUAAUAAAUUUGGGUUAAAAGUAAAUGAAAUAAGCUGCUUUAGCUUGCAACGCUUAAGAAAUAUCGAGAAAUUGGUGUCUAAAAUGUAUACACGAUUAUGUAUUUGCAAAAACGGAACAUUACAAAACUAUAAAAAAAAAACGAAUUGGUUUUACUCGUAUACAUGUAAGUAUAAUUGUAAUUAUUAAAUACAUGUAUUUUAAAGUCAAUGCAAAGAACAUUUCCACGCGUUUAAUUAUUGACCUUGAGCGAUGUAGUGAGAUACACCACGUCGAGGUAUCCAGAAUAAGGCGUGGUUCGAAUCAUAUUUUAUGUAUAAUUGUCCAUUUUUGACCAACAUCCAUUUACAUCAUUCGCCAUGUGUAUAUAAGUUUAUAAGAUGUACAUAUUGUCCAAGUUAUAAUUAAUUUAUAUAUUGUCAUAUGCUGUUUAGUGCGAUCAUAUUCUCUAAAAAAUAACAAACAAAAAUUAUUACGACUUGAAUACGAUGAUCAACCAAACACGAUCAUCGACCAAUAUUUCCUGCGGUGUUUUAAUGUUACCUCAAUUCAGUUUUUUUUUCUAUUUGUUAUACACAUCAAAGGAGACGAUCAAGUAAAGGGACUAUUUUUAUGAGCUGUACAAGAAAAAUGAGCCAAAUCCGCUACAAGAUGAAGGGUCUUGAAUUAUAUUGAAGUGUUUCAUAGAAUUGUAGUUUAUGUACGUCUGAUCAAUUCCUGUUAAUACGGGUUUCAGUGAUAUUUCAUGUUGUGAAUAUCUAUGAUUGUGUUGUUUAUACGUUCUUGUAUCUUGUACAUUCAUUUGUUAUGUAAUGAUGAAUUACACGUUGUUUAUAAUAAAUCGAAAUUACCGA